UUACCACUCUGGCCUUUUGGCUUAGAUCAAGUGUAGUAUCUGUUCUUUUUAGUUUAACCACUAAAAUGAGUGCCCAGCACUCUUUCAUGGUUAUCUCAUUUUUGACGCCGUCGCCUUUCGAGCUCUGCUUGCACCUCGAUCGGCAAGUUGGCCUUUGCGUUGCACUAUUGCAUCGUGCCGACAGCGGAA
rnacentral:snRNA from 1 species